ensembl:lincRNA
GCAGAGGCAACAGAGGCCUGACAGAGGCUACCAGGUCCCCAGCCUCCCCUUCCAGAACUGAGGACCCAGGAGCCCAGGCUGUGCCCAAGCACAGGGACGCUGGCUGCAGAGAUGUCUGUCCCAGUCCAGAUGUGGUCCCCUGUGCCUGUUGUUUUUCUCGUUGGCCUCUGGCAGGCCCACAGGACCCGGGACGGGCAUGGGGACAGGGUGGUAUGAGGCUCCUCACUCUUUCCUGGGUCCUUGGGGUGUCGUGCCCCCAGCCAGCAGGCACAUCCGCCGAGGGUGGUCAGGCUGGCCUCAAGGGGCCAUGUCCUUCUGCACCACUGAGCUACAUGGCCCAGAGCAGCCUCAGACUCUGAAGCUGCGUGCCCCACAGGAGCUUCAGGGUCACCCUCGGGGUUCAGGAGCCUCAUCACAGUGCCCAGGGACAGCAGAGCGCCCGGGUCAGGACACGAGCUAUCCGCAGGGAGAAUGAGGACCUGGACACCCCUCUCUGCCUAUAGAUGGCGUUGUGCCUGGCCACGAGCCUGGUCAGCUUCCUCUGUACCCUGGCUGGCCUCUUCGUCCUCUGCAAGGACCUCUUCCUGGAGACCCCGUUUCCCAGGCCAGACCGGACACCGUACCCUAAUCCCAAGCAGGCCCACGUCCAGCAGUUGGAGCUGGCACUGCUGUGCUGCACCACCCUGGAGUUGCUGCUGACGGUGCUGACAGCCAUCGCCGCCCACAGACGGGCCCGGCAGUGGGCACAGGACACAGGCAGCUCCCCUCCGGCACCCCCCGCAGACCUGGAACUGUGGCAUCCGCACCCGUCGCCCAGGCCUCCACCAUCCUACGAGGAGGUGACCCGAGGUGAAGCCUAGGCAAGCAGAGGUGAAGAGGCCCCAGCCACCAGGCCUCCGAGACGCACGUGGCCACCCCCCGCCCUUCCCCUCCAAGGCCUCCCCGCCCUUGGCCUCCAUCCACACAACACCCACCUGACAGCACCCACACGACACCAUCCACACGGAUCUGAGGCUGUCUGGAUUCUCCUGUCUACACCGCCUCCUCCUCUCUGCCACCUCUGCUGUCCCCUGGGCCCCGGCCACUGGUUGGUCUCUGCACCUGAUCUGCCACUGCACCUCUGUGGCUGUGGUGUGGAACACAAGCAGAACUUGCCAGGCCUGAUGGGAAAGCACCCUUUCACCAGAAGGGAGGGUGCCGUGGACUCGCAGCCGAGCGUCUGGAGACCCGGAUGCCACCCCAGCCCGUGGGCAGCUGAUUGCGCCACUGGACUCAACGCCUUCACUCCUGGCCCCCGUGACUUCCUAUAAACGACGCUGGGCUCCAGUGACAGCCUGGCCCUGACACUGCCUCUGGGCAGUGUCCCCUCAGAAAGACGAGGCCUUUGCAGGCAGCCCCUGAGAGCCACGCAGCACAGCCAGUGGAGGCCACAGCCGGGCGGCUUGUCACACCCACCUGCCGAGGGGGCACCACAGCUUUUCUGUUUGUAAUGAAGCCGCCUGCGUCAUUAUCAAGCAGGAAGGUGUAGGAAUGACCUCUUUGUGACACACGGUCCAGUCAUUAAACUAACUCUACACCACUCUGCAGAAACCAGCAUCCUAAGCUCGCACUUUCAGGCUGCGAUUCACACGGAGUUGUUUGCACAGAUUCUGAACAGGCUGAGCUGGGGCAAGGCCCAGACCCCUGCCUGGUCCAGAUCCAAGCC